rnacentral:rRNA from 1 species
CUACCGGGUUGCUGCAGUGGGGAAUAUUGGACAAUGGGGGAAACCCUGAUCCAGCAAUGCCGCGUGUGUGAAGAAGGCCUGCGGGUUGUAAAGCACUUUCGGUUGGGAGGACUGCUUCUAGCACUAAUAUUGUUGGAAGUUGACGUUACCUUCAGAAGAAGCACCGGCUAACUCCGUGCCAGCAGCCGCGGUAAUACGGGGGGUGCAAGCGUUAAUCGGAAUUACUGGGCGUAAAGCGCGCGUAGGCGGCUAGAUCAGUCGGGUGUGAAAGCCCCGGGCUUAACCUGGGAACUGCAUCCGAUACUGUCUAGCUUGAGUACAGGAGAGGAGAGUGGAAUUCCACAUGUAGCGGUGAAAUGCGUAGAUAUGUGGAGGAACACCAAUGGCGAAGGCAGCUCUCUGGCCUGAUACUGACGCUGAGGUGCGAAAGCGUGGGGAGCAAACAGGAUUAGAUACCCGCGUAGUC